rnacentral:rRNA from 1 species
GACGAACGCUGGCGGCGUGCUUAACACAUGCAAGUCGAACGCUGAAGCUCAGCUUGCUGGGUGGAUGAGUGGCGAACGGGUGAGUAACACGUGAGUAACCUGCCCUCUUCUUUGGGAUAACGCCCGGCAACGGGUGCUAAUACUGGAUAUUCACUGAUUCUCGCAUGGGGGUUGGUGGAAAGGUUUUUUCUGGUGGGGGAUGGGCUCGCGGCCUAUCAGCUUGUUGGUGGGGUGAUGGCCUACCAAGGCUUUGACGGGUAGCCGGCCUGAGAGGGUGACCGGGCACAUUGGGACUGAGAUACGGCCCAGACUCGGACGGGAGGCAGCAGUGGGGAAUAUUGCACAAUGGGCGAAAGCCUGAUGCAGCGACGCCGCGGGAGGGAUUGGGGCCUUCGGGUUGUAAACCUCGUUCGCUCAUGGUCAAGCCGCAGCUUUGGUUGUGGUGAGGGUAGUGGGUAAAGAAGCGCCGGCUAACUACGUG